UCCUGGUUAACCCAGGCAGUCUCAUUAGAGUUCCCACCUUAAAUGUUGGCAACUAAUGAUAAGGGUUGCGCUCGUUGCUGGACUUAACCAAACACCUCACGGCACGAGCUGACGACAGCCAUGCAGCACCUGUGCACCAGCCCCGAAGGGAAGCACCAUUUCUGGUGCGGUCUAGUGCAUGUCAAGCCUGGGUAAGGUUCUUCGCGUUGCAUCGAAUUAAACCACAUGCUCCACUGCUUGUGCGGGUCCCCGUCAAUUCUUUUGAGUUUCAGCCUUGCGACUGUACUCCCCAGGCGGUAUACUUAUCGCGUUAGCUUCGGCACAACUGGGGUUGAGUCCAGUUACACCAAGUAUACAUAGUUUAAGGCAAGGACUAC
rnacentral:misc_RNA from 1 species